AUACUUACCUGAGUGUGGGAAUACCAUGAAAGAGAUUUCCUCAGGGUGCGGCUCUUCCAUUGCAGACUUCCAUUGGGUUGACCCCUGUGAUUUCCCCAAAUGUGGGAAACUCAAAACUCAAUUGCAUAAUUUAUGGUAGGGGGACUGCAUUUGUGCAUUCUGCU